rnacentral:rRNA from 1 species
CUACGUGCCAGCAGCCGCGGUAAUACGGGGGGUGCGAGCGUUAAUCGGAAUAACUGGGCGUAAAGGGCACGCAGGCGGUGACUUAAGUGAGAUGUGAAAGCCCCGGGCUUAACCUGGGAAUUGCAUUUCAUACUGGGUCGCUAGAGUACUUUAGGGAGGGGUAGAAUUCCACGUGUAGCGGUGAAAUGCGUAGAGAUGUGGAGGAAUACCGAAGGCGAAGGCAGCCCCUUGGGAAUGUACUGACGCUCAUGUGCGAAAGCGUGGGGAGCAAACAGGAUUAGAUACCCUGGUAGUCCACGCUGUAAACGAUGUCGAUUUGGGGAUUGGGCUUUAAGCUUGGUGCCCGUAGCUAACGUGAUAAAUCGACCGCCUGGGGAGUACGGCCGCAAGGUUAAAACUCAAAUGAAUUGACGGGGGCCCGCACAAGCGGUGGAGCAUGUGGUUUAAUUCGAUGCAACGCGAAGAACCUUACCUACUCUUGACAUCCAUGGAAUCUUGUAGAGAUACGAGAGUGCUUCGGGA